rnacentral:tRNA from 1 species
AAGGAUAACCGGAACGUUACAGCGGCUUAGGUGCCAAUUUGAAUUGUUACAAAGUUUUGUUUAGUUUUGAGUGUGUCUACUCUACCGAUUAGGUACGGGGGAUUAGCUCAGCUGGGAGAGCACCUGCUUUGCAAGCAGGGGGUCAUCGGUUCGAUCCCGAUAUUCUCCAUUGACUGGUCAAACAGUCAAGCUUGAACAUUGAAAACUGAAUAAUCAAGAAAAUCUUUUAAAAUCAAGAAAUUGAUUCUUAAAUAAACCGAGAAACAACACAAGUUCUUUAAUAAAGAACGGUUUAAUCGCAGGUCUGAAAAAUGACCAACUCAUAAAACUGAUCCAACUGAUAAAGUUGU